UUUUAAAUAACCCAAAAGAUAGUUUCAGGUUCACCAAUUUCAUUUUGUAGGAGAAAACACACAAAAUAAUAAAUAAUGUUAUAUUUAACACGAUAAUAAAUGCCUAUUAAAAACAAACUCCUCCCAAUAUUAUGAAUUGGGCAUUGUGGAGGCCUUGUGUGGCUCAGGUGUUAUGUCUGGAGAUUUGUGCUCCUGAUUAGCCAAUCUACGGUGGGGAUUACUAAGGGGCGGGGUCUGAUAAUCCCCUUAAAUCCAAUUCUUUUCUAAAAUGAACUGCUUUUGUCCACGGCCAUUUGGGCUUCGGUCUUUGAAGACUUUCAGAUGGUCAAGUGCAAAAGGAGUCAACAGAGGGUUUACAAAUAAAUCUGUCUGAAAUAAGGGUGCUUAAUGAUGGAGGACAGAUGUGACAGGACACGGGCCUUCGUGAAUGUUUGUCGGAAUUUAAGAAGAAAAAAAAAAAGUCUGCAAACAGAACUUCACCUCUGUUUUAAAAAAACCAAAAGACAAUUUCACACUUGACAAUUUCAUCUUGUAGAAGAAAACAAUGGACAUAACACAAAAUAAAAAAUGUUCAUUAACUCUGAGCUCCUCCCAGUAUUGUGAGUUCUGCGUCGUGAAGGCCUGGAGUGCCUCAGUCUUCAUUAUGUCUGGAGAUUUGAGCUCCUAAUUGGCCGAUCCACUGUGGUUAUUCCUAAGGGGCGAGGUCUGAUAAAGAACAACACAUUGGGACUCAUGAAUAUUCUGAUGAAAUCAAAUGGAUCCUUGCACAAAAGGAGGAUGCUAAGCUUGCAGGUGGUGUUCACUGAUGAGUGCCUGGGAGUGACCCACACAGCCUGGCUGUGCCCAGAACAUCAGCAGCAGCCACUGUAUAGGACUGAGCUUCCACAUCCCCACCAUAGCCGAGUACAAAACACAAACAAAAGUCAUUGGGAUAUGGAAAGAAAACCAGAGUACCUGUAACAGAGGCAGGAGCCAGCUAUGGAUCAUCAGAGGGUGACCCACAUUUAUGUUCACAAUCACACCAAGCCAAGUUAGAUUUGUUAUUUCACUACGUCUGUGCACUUCUACAAAGUGGGAGAAAAAAAAUCCACAAAGCACACAUGACAACUGCAUACAGACCAUAAACAGGCACUGUGAGGCAGCCACACAAACUACAAAUCUCCAUUAACCCCUCUAAAACUCAUUGGCAGGGACUACAGAUUUGGGCCUUAGUAAAAGGUUUAGAAAAAUUUCACAAAGAUCAAUGGAAUAGAAAAAGAAAAAAAAAGAUUUUUUUUUAAUCCAUGCAAUUUAUGUAAAUGUCUGCUGUCCACACUGGAUUGAACGCGUUUCAGAGUGUUAGGCGGUGUAACUGUAUAAAAUCACACAUCAUAGACAAACUUAUUCACUUUAUAGCUCAAAUGGAGAAGUAACACUGCAGCACUACACUUAAAUCCGAUUUCUGUUUAUUUGUACUCAUUCUCCACUUCGACUCUCAUCCAGUUCGUUUUUAUCUCUUUUACUAAUCAGACGUGUAGAGCCCGACUGACUCCUCGCUGCGCGUCGGUCAGCAACUCCGUUCUUGUCUGUAAACUGAACACCAGGGACUGAAUGGAGAACGAAGGCAAAAAGCAAAGCGCUGUGUGUCUGCGUGCGGAAGGAGAGACUCCUUAAGGUUCAGGAAGGACACGCCUGAAGAAAUAAAGAGAAGGAAUAGGCGAUGUGCCUUGGCAAAGUGAAAUAGAAAUGUAGCUCGAUAACGUGAGGUGAACCGCUUGCAACAAUGGACAGCAAAGCCAUGCGAGGGACCACAGUGGGAUUCACUUGAGCAAAGUCCGACAGUGGGCUGAUGGACACGAACGCACUGCUCGCCUCUCAUUCAAGUCUCAUGCAGUGAUUGCUAGUAUAAACUCCCACGUUCAUAAGGUGUCGUUCCCAGACCCCGAGCACUUACCCCUCUAUCUGUCAAUGAGUCUUUUUACAUUCGUCCGCACACCUGUUCGCCUCACUCGACCACACAAUCUCCGCUCCCGCACAGCCCAGUGGCAAACAGCUUCAGGGCCGUCGCUCUUGAUGACGUCAUGCAUCCCUCUCGCAGAUUUGUCUUUGCACAAAGCUGUCACGUGUGCUUGUGAGGGGGGCUUUGUGACGUCAUCAAGAGCGACGGCGCUGAAGCCACGCUACACCGCCUGCCAGGAGAGGAGAGGUUGAGAGCGGACGGACGCGUUUAGAAAGAACUGCCGAGAGACUGACAGACAGAGGAGAGAGAAGCUAUCAUUUACUGUAAUCUCUAGAUGGAUGUGAAAGAGGAGAUGUGUGAGGCUGACAUGAACAUCAUAAAGAUAGCGAUCACAGAUAUUAAGGAGGAGCACUGUGAAUGGGAGCCUGCCCACCCUAACCAAGUUAAUCUCCACAUUAAGGAAGAGGACUGUAAACUGGAGUCGUUGGACAUUAAAGAAGAGGUUGAAGAGAAGUUUAUCAGCAUUGAGACACACAAACAUAAAAGUGUGGAGAGUGUCCAGGAAAAUGACCUUCAUUACAGGUGUCAAGAUGGAGCAGCGAUGGGGUUGGUAUCUCCUCAGAGCACACACUGCUCAUCUGCAGGGCUUUCUAUCCAUGUGAAGUCCGAAUCAUUACAUUCUGACACAAGGAGGACCGAGGAAAUAUCAUCAUCUGUUAGAACUCUGGAAGAUCAGCCACCAUCUACAAGUAAGUCUGGAGAGAAUACAGAAAUGAGGUGUGUCGGUCAAUACAAAUGAAGGUCGUCUGCCUAAGUGAAGUGAGAGGGUUGCUGCUUGUCAACACUCCAAGAAGAUGACAUUAGCAAGCGCAGUAUAAGCCUCAAGAGACAAACCUCACUGCUGUUCUGAAUGUGGCAAAGAAUUUUUUGAUGGGAAUAGUCUGAAGAAACAUUUAACAGUUCACACAGGACAGAAGCUGUAUUGUUGUUCAGAAUGUGGAAAACAAUUCACAAAAAUCAGCAAUCUUCAUAAACACGUAACUAUUCACACUGGAGAGAGGCCAUAUUGUUGUUCAGAAUGUGGAAAACAAUUUGCAGAAAUCUCCACUCUCGAUAGACACAGAAUAAUUCACACGGGAGAGAAGCCAUAUUGUUGUAAUGAGUGUGGCAGACAUUUUGGUCUCAGGGGUACACUUCAGAGACACCGUAGAAUCCACACUGGAGAGAAGCCGCUUUUCUGCUCUGAUUGUGGCAAGCAGUUCUUUGACAGAAUCAAUCUUGAGAGCCAUGCAAAAGUUCACACAGGUGAAAAACCGUUCUGCUGUUAUGAAUGUGGCAAAGAAUUUUUUGACAGGAAUAGUCUGCGGAAGCAUUUAUCGGUUCACACAGGGGAGAAGCUGUAUUGCUGUUCUCUGUGUGACAAACAGUUUUUGCAUAAGUGUAACCUUAAGAGACACACCAGAGUUCACCUUUAGAGAAAUAUGUUCACAUGGUAAAGAAAUUCUCACAGGACUGCCAAAUGAGAUUUGGGCUGGAUAUGUCCACUGAGGCAAUGGUCAUUAACUAAAAAAUCAGAAAUGGUGCAAACAUCAAGCUGGAUGAGGAGGGUAUCAUCAGAAACCUAAACUUGAGAGAAACAAAUAUUUGUGAGUAAAUGAAUGUGCAGAAAUAUAAGGAAAGCAGAAAACAAACAGAGAGUACAAGGUGUGACAUUUUAAUUCCUGGAAUGGAUGCGUAGUGUCGCCCGUGAUAUAACUGUACCAAAAUUGCAUGAAUGUUAGUGUUUUGAUUAUGUUUGAACUAAUAUGUGUGUAAAUUUCAAGCUGAUAGAGCUAGUUGUUCGUUAACUUUUGAGAAGGUAAUAGAUAUCGGUGUGUACACUUUGGCGUAAAAGUGGGUGAUCAAAAUUUAGAACAACUUAUUAAUAUUAAAUUUUGUGUGAGAAUCGGCAAAUGUACAACUGAAACGUGACAACUGUUGCAAGUGGCCCAUGGUGAAGAUGUUAUGAAAAAGUCGAGUGUGUUUGAGUGUGCUGAAAAGGAUGAAGAUAUUCUAAUAUAACUGAUAUCUGACAGAAUGUGAGACAGCUGCUCAGCAGUAUUCUGGAAAAAUUAGUUCCAGGCCUGCUUCCAAAAAUGGGAGCACCGUUUCAGUCAGUUUAUAGAUGCAAAAGGGGACAGAAGCUACUAGUGUACAGUUCCACGUGUAUAUUUUUUUAAAAUGUGCAUUCCAGGAAUUAAAUUGUCACACCUCGUACAUCUGUUGAACAAAGGUGAUUCUCAGAACUUGCCUUGUUGCAUGCUGUAAAAUCCUGGUGAUAAACCAGCUUGCCAUUCACAUCCUAUCUGAUGCCUUCGGCAUCUCUGACUGCACACCGAACAAUUUACAUAAACUGGACAUAAAAACGUGAGAACUUCUGCAUGCAUACCAGUCAAUCUACAAGAAUCAAGGCAUCCCUAGAAUGUAAAUUUCUAGAUCUGAAGGAGACAUGGGGCUCAUCCAAAUGGAUGACUUAUGCAGGGCUACAAUCGUUGGACUUCAGACAUUCCUUCUCUACUCAACAUACUGGCACAUUCAGAAGGUACUUUAACAUAAGGCCCCUCAUUGACCCCGUGACCAUCAAAGGAGACUGUGUGCAGAGGGUGCAGACCUAUAAAUAUCUGGGAGUGCAGCUGGAUGAUAAAUUAGACUGGAC